rnacentral:rRNA from 1 species
AGAGGUGGCAAGCGUUGUUCGGAAUUACUGGGCGUAAAGGGCGCGUAGGCGGUCUUGCAAGUCCUGUGUGAAAUCCCUCGGCUCAACUGAGGAACUGCACAGGGAACUGCUUGGCUUGAGUUCGGGAGAGGGAAGCGGAAUUCCGGGUGUAGCGGUGAAAUGCGUAGAUAUCCGGAGGAACACCGGUGGCGAAGGCGGCUUCCUGGACCGACACUGACGCUGAGGCGCGAAAGCUAGGGGAGCAAACGGGAUUAGAUACCCCGGUAGUCCUAGCUGUAAACGAUGAGCGCUGGGUGUGGCGGGUAUUAACCCCUGCUGUGCCGAAGCUAACGCAUUAAGCGCUCCGCCUGGGGAGUACGGUCGCAAGGCUG